rnacentral:rRNA from 1 species
AUUGAACGCUGGCGGCAGGCCUAACACAUGCAAGUCGAACGAGUGGCGGACGGGUGAGUAAUGUCUGGGAAACUGCCUGAUGGAGGGGGAUCACUACUGGAAACGGUCGCUAAUCCCGCAUACCCUGAGAUGUGCCCAGAUGGGAUUAGCUUGUGGGGGGGGUAACGGCUCACCGAGGCGACGAUCCCUAGCUGGUCUGAGAGGAUGACCAGCCACACUGGAACUGAGACACGGUCCAGACUCCUACGGGAGGCAGCAGUGGGGAAUAUUGCACAAUGGGCGCAAGCCUGAUGCAGCCAUGCCGCGUGUAUGAAGAAGGCCUUCGGGUUGUAAAGUACUUUCAGCGGGGAGGCGUUACCCGCAGAAGAAGCACCGGCUAACUCCGUGCCAGCAGCCGCGGUAAUAC